rnacentral:rRNA from 1 species
UGGUGGCGAUGGCGGAGGGGUUCCACGCGUACCCAUCCCGAACACGGCCGUUAAGCCCUCCAGCGCCGAUGGUACUUGGACCGAAGGGUCCUGGGAGAGUAGGACGCCGCCA